CCCCCACCGCGCCGCCGGCCCUCUGCCCCACCGUGUGGCUUGCCCUCUUUCCCACCGCCCCGCCAGCUCUCUGCCCCACCGCGCCGCUACCUCUCUGCCCUGCCAAGGAUUAGUUCAAGUCCUCGCACGAGCCACCACCGUCCACCUUCCUCCGGCGAGCAACGGCCGGCCGCCUUCCUCGCGCGAGCCAUCGCCGGCCGCCUUCCUCCGGCGAGCAACCGCCAGCUGCCUUCCUCCCUCGAGCCACCGCCGGCCGCCUUCCUCCGUCGCAUCUACCUUAGCACGCCGCGCCAUGUCUCCACCAUCGCCUUUGGUCACGCACCAUCCCGUUCAUGGCUAGCUUGCGUAUGGAACCUGCAAGUUCAACAUUUGCACUAUAUUCAGUUCUUGUAGUACAAAGGUAUCCCUCCCCCCACGCCAUCCUCGGCACCCCUCACUCGCGCCAUGGCCGUAGCUUCACUCCCGUGCGCCACCCUCGGCUGCCAUGCCAUGGCCUACGCUCAGCUGCUGCGGGUGGAACCGCUGGGUCGAGGAACUUUGCCUCGACAGUACAACAAUACACUCUGCUGCCAGUCGCGAGAAGAGUUGCGCGCAGGCCACCCCGUAUCCGCCCUCGACCCGUCUCAGUCAUCUCCCUCUCAUCCUCUCUCUCUGGUCUGCGUUUGUGUGUGUGUGCAGGGAGUAGGAGGUGACAGAGCAGGGGAGUGGGAGGCCCUUCCAUGGCAAAUUCGUCGGCAGCUUCCAUGGAGAUUGAGACCUCUCUUGAUUUUUGCUUGUAGAUUUCUCCUCUAGAUCUGUCCACUGUAGUUCCUGCAUAGCGGUGUCCUUUUUUCUAGUGUUCCUCUUUCUAUGUUGAUGCAUGUGUUUAAUAACCCCACUGAUACGAAUUCUGAAAACAAGCUUCAGUACAAGAAAAAUGGGUCAUUCAGUUCAAUUCUGAAUUAUAGGUGUGUACACAUCGUGCUUACACAGUAACUAAUUAACUAUGAUAACCAUGUUCAGACUUCUACAAAUCCCAAAACUAUGCAGAGUUAGGAUUGUUACUACCUUGUUUUUUACUAUUGAUUCAUUUUUUAUGAGAAGGUAUUAAGAUGGUACAUGUCAUUGGACAUCUCAAUAUACUGUAAUGUGUUUUUUUGCAUAGUACCUUGAAAUUAUGUUAGCAACUCUGAAUUGCGAUUGUGCUUGAAACUGAAAAUGAUUCUGUAACUUCUCAAACCUCAUGGACUUGAUGCUUAAAAUACUUCCAGGACGAUUUGAUUCUUGUUUCUUUCAAGACCAGUUAAGCAAAAAGAAAUUUAGUUCAGUCCAAUUUCAAAUUCUCAUUUUAGUUUAGUCAAAGUUUCUUAUUUUAGUUCAGUACAAUAUCCAAGUUUAUUUCAGUUCAAUUCUUAUUUUAGUUUUAGUUCAUUUCAAUUCUUAUUUUAGUAAAUCUGUAGUCUAUGGAUUUUAUUUGGCCUAGAUUGCUAGACGUACUAACUUGUUGUGCCAAGGCAAUCUAAAAUAUUUAGUGUUGCUACCGUAAUUCGUUCAUUGUUUCACGCCUUCCCACAGACGCACGCCCCCACCUCCCCGCCAACACGCGCUGCCCUAAGACACGCGCCCCCCCGCCUCCCUGUCGACGUGUGCCCCCAUGCCUUCCUAGCGACGCGUGCUGCUCCACUCCCUCAGCGCCCAUGCUGUUCAAACUCAGCCACCUAGGCCGUUCACCACCACUACCAAAGCCCGUUCAGUUGGCGGCGUUCCUGCAGCUACAGAUGUGGUGCUGACAGUAGUAAGUGCUGGUUGUGUUGGAUAAAAUUUCUAGGAGCUCCCAUGAUUUAUACAUGGAACCGAGAUGAUUCCAUUUAUUCAUUCCCCCAAGUGCUUCAAUGUUGGCUCCUUCUUGGCUGGCUGGAUCGCUGCUGGAUUUGGUGGGCGUAGGUGUGGGUUUACAGGAAAGCUGGCACCACUCUUGUGUUAUUUUCUCUAGCGAUUGAGAAAUUGAUGCACUCCUUUUAAUGCGUAAGUUUAUCUGCUCACAACCUAUUUGUGUGAAAGCCAAAUAGCUUGAGAAUAGCAACCCGUUUGAGCUUAGCUGAGAGGAUUUUGAAUCGUUGUGUGAGGAAGUGUGGACAUGGACUUAAGAUAAUGCAUGCUGCUUUAUUCAUAAAGAGACGGUCCUGUUGAUUUUAUUCGGAAACUGAACCAAAACAGUGGUUGCUACCAGUGUUUGGAAAUUAUAAUUACUAGAACUCUUAUUUAUCACCCUUUUAAUUGUUGGCUAAUUCUUGUGAAAAGUAGUGGUUACUCUUGCUAAUUACUUUGAUGUGAUGCCUAGGUGGUCAGUUCAGCUCCUGCAACCAAGGCAGGUCAUUGCCCCUUUUGCCACAACGGCAGGAGCACAAACACGAUUGUGGUCAUCCUCAACCAGUUCCUUCACGCGGCCUCCGCGCAAGCCCUGCUCAUGUAUGCUUACACCAAAAGGCAGUCCAACUACAUCCGCCAUCUCAGUGCGACCUCUUAUACCUUUGCAACACUGUGUCCCGCCAUCCAACGAGUAGUCCAACCUUAGGGCCAUGUUCUGAGAAAAUCCCAUGAAGCAAAAUUGUUGCCGAUAGCCAUUGACCAUGAAGCUUCUCUGCCCUGCUGCUACUACUACAUGCGGUGAUCAUGUACUGAUGGACAUAUGAGGUCGUGUGGCCACACUUCUUUUGAAGGCGUAUCUCCAUGCAAUUGCACCUUUUUCCCCGGUCCUUUGGGAGGUGACUGGCCUGUUGUCUUUGCUGCUCUUUCAGUAACUGAACUAUUUUCAUGUGAAACUAUUGCAAACCAAACAGGCCCUAAGCUUGGUGCAUAUCAUGAAUAAUGGCAGAAAUAAGAUAUUGUGUAGCUUACCUCUUAUGACCAGUACACAACCUUAAGUCAAAUAGCAAUAUAUGGGAAGUAUGCCAAUAGGUGGUUGCUAUGAAGCUUGUGAGCCUGUACAACAUGUGAAACUUUGUGGAAAGUGUUGUGACUUCAUAUGCUAUGGUGGAAUUGAGGCUUCGCCAAGGAACAGGACUGGUAACUAGUGCAAAGGAGACCAUGUCGAGAGGUGGCACUGCUAGACUUUCUGAUGUGUAGUUAUGGCAUAAAAAGAUGAAAAAAAUGGUGUCUUGUAUGAUUCCAUAAGGUGUACGUAGCAAAUCUUCCCAUGUGGAUCAGUACAACUUAUGUACGGCCUUGAGUUCACAAAUCUUAUAGUAA